rnacentral:misc_RNA from 1 species
AGUCGUAACAAGGUUUCCGUAGGUGAACCUGCGGAAGGAUCAUUAUCAAUGCAAAGUUUCUCCAAUGAAUUUUGGGGUUUCUUUGAUAAAAUUUCUCUUCUUUUCCCUUUUCUUUUGAGGGAAUUGAAGGAAUCCACUGUGAUCUGUUUCGAGCUUUUUCAUUUGAAAAAGCUACAACCCGUUUUUUUUCUUUUGGAAACAAACGGGUGUGGGGCCUUUUUAGGUCUCGCAAUUCAAUAUACUUUAUGAAAUUCUUGAUUGAUUCUUAAUUGAAACAAAAAAACAACUUUCAACAAUGGAUCUCUCGGCUUAC